rnacentral:misc_RNA from 1 species
GAUGAAGAACGUAGCAAAAUGCGAUAAGUAAAGUGAAUUGCAGAAUUCAGUGAAUCAUCGAAUCUUUGAACGCACAUUGCGCCCGCUGGUAUUCCGGCGGGCAUGCCUGUUCGAGCGUCAUUUCAACCCUCAAGCCCCCGGGUUUGGUGUUGGGGAUCGGCUCUGCCCUUCUGGGCGGUGCCGCCCCCGAAAUACAUUGGCGGUCUCGCUGCAGCCUCCAUUGCGUAGUAGCUAACACCUCGCAACUGGAACGCGGCGCGGCCAUGCCGUAAAACCCCAACUUCUGAAUGUUGACCUCGGAUCAGGUAGGAAUACCCGCUGAACUUAAGCAUAUCAAUAAGCGGAGGA